rnacentral:rRNA from 1 species
AUUGAACGCUGGCGGCAGGCCUAACACAUGCAAGUCGAGCGGUAGCACAGAGAGCUUGCUCUCGGGUGACGAGCGGCGGACGGGUGAGUAAUGUCUGGGAAACUGCCCGAUGGAGGGGGGUAACUACUGGAAACGGUAGCUAAUACCGCAUAACUUCGCAAGACCAAAGAGGGGGACCGUCGGGCCUCUCGACAUCGGAGGUGCCCAGAUGGGAUUAGCUAGUAGGUGGGGUAACGGCUCACCUAGGCGACGAUCCCUAGCUGGUCUGAGAGGAUGACCAGCCACACUGGAACUGAGACACGGUCCAGACUCCUACGGGAGGCAGCAGUGGGGAAUAUUGCACAAUGGGCGCAAACCUGAUGCAGCCAUGCCGCGUGUGUGAAGAAGGCCUUCGGGUUGUAAAGUACUUUCAGCGGGGAGGAAGGUGUUGAGGUUAAUAACCUCAGCAAUUGACGUUACCCGCAGAAGAAGCACCGGCUAACUCCGUGCCAGCCGCCGCAGUAA